AUAACAGUUGGCGUGAUCUCUGCGCAGUAAAAGAUGCUGAGCGUGCUGACGGCAUGAGAUGAGAACAUUCCAAUGAUGGAGAACGCGUACGAGAACCGCCGAUUCAGGGUGUCUCUGAGAACUACAACAGAAGAGAGAACGCAAGCCAAGCUGCAGCAGAGAUGCCAGGGCUGUAAUGAUCAUGAAGGUUUCUGGUGCUCCUCAGUUGUGUUACACACCAGGUCUCAGGCGUCUGCUGCAGUUCUGCCUCCAGCUCUAAAAAAACACCUUCAUCAUCCUCAUCAUCGCCAUUAAGGUAAAGCACAUUCACUAAAAGCACC